GAUGAAGAACGCAGCGAAAGGCGAUACGUAAUGUGAAUUUCAAAUUCAGUGAAUCAUCGAGUCUUUGAACGCACAUUGCGCCCCCUGGUAUUCCGGGGGGCAUGCCUGUCCGAGCGUCAUUGCUACCCUCAAGCACGGCUUGUGUGUUGGGCCCCGUCCUCCGAUCCCGGGGGACGGGCCCGAAAGGCAGCGGCGGCACCGCGUCCGGUCCUCGAGCGUAUGGGGCUUUGUCACCCGCUCUGUAGGCCCGGCCGGCGCUUGCCGAUCAACCCAAAUUUUUAUCCAGGUUGACCUCGGAUCAGGUAGGGAUACCCGCUGAACUUAAGCAUAUCAAUAAGCGGAGGA
rnacentral:misc_RNA from 1 species